GCGACGGCUUGCGAAGAACAAUCCACCUAGUUUUCCACUGCCAAAGACAAAUCCCCCCCCCAAAAAGAUGGCAGUCUGGCGUAUCCCUCCACGACUACCGAAUCGGUCAUCUUCAGUCAUGGUUCCUGACAGCUGCACAGUUGGCUGCCCCAAUGAGCCACUGAUGGAGCAGCAGUAGUUGUCUGGGAAGGCCACGCCAUUUUCGGGAAGGCAAAUGGGCCUGAUGAACGGC